CCCUACGGGACGCAGCAGUGGGGGAUAUUGCACAAUGGAGGAAACUCUGAUGUAGCGACGCCGCGCGAGGGAAGACGGUCUUCGGAUUGUAAACCACUGUCCCCAGGGACGAAGAUGACGGUACCUGGGGAGGAAGCUCCGGCUAACUACGUGCCAGCAGCCGCGGUAAUACGUAGGGGGCGAGCGUUGUCCGGAAUUACUGGGUGUAAAGGGAGCGUAGGCGGGACUGCAAGUUGGGUGUCAAAUCUACCGGCUCAACCGGUAGCCGCACUCAAAACUGCAGUUCUUGAGUGAAGUAGAGGCAG
rnacentral:rRNA from 1 species